UCCAGAAAGCGGGCAAGUGCACUCGGGACGCGCUCUCUGGCUAGGAAGAGGUGGGGAUCUACCCGGGCAAAACCCACUGCAGCAGACACCGGUGCGCCGCAGCCCCGCGUCCCCGCCUGGAGCCGAGAGCGGCGGAAGCAGGGGGCCGAGAGCCUCCACUUGCAGUCGCGCAGCCCUCGGUCCCCAGCGUUGGGGGCCGCCGCCCGCCCAGCGUCCUUAACGGAAGGAGGCGCGGGUGACAGCGGUACAUCAGCGCAUCCGGGGGUGACCCGGCGGUGGGCGGGCGGCGGAGGAAACCACCGCCCGACCAGAACCCGACAGCUCCGCGCCGGGGCAUGUGUUUCACCCGGAGAAGGCCAGGCGAUGUAUUCAUGUGAGGAACCAGACGGAUUGAAAAUUUUCCAAUAACUCGGCCAGGGAUGACGGUUUUAGCUCCAGGCUCAUCAAACGCACCCUCUAUCCCAUGGAUUGACAGCGAUGGGUACCUCCACAGAAGGCACAAAGGACUCUGCGGAUGGUUGAGCCAGUUUUCUUCCCAGCCAUGGCCAAGGCCCUGCUGGUCUGAGGGAGGAGACGCACCUCGCAAUCACUCUACCACGUCUGUUCAACAGGUCCAGAUCGAUGGCUUCGUACAUUUUUCUCUCCUCUUCAGUAAGAGGGGCCACUUGGUCAUAGAUUCCAGGGAUCAGAAUAUGGCCAGAUGAGUCCACCAGGCUGCCUGCAAGGCACACACAGGAAACAGAGCCGGGGAUGACUUAGGAGUGUGCCGAGGGUCUGGCCCCGGUGCCCGGCCACCGCGCCCCACUCCUGGGGGCUCCUGCGGCCACAGCGGGCCUCGUGAGAGACCCUGACCCCCAGGCGGAGCUGCCAACAGCACGCAUGUCUCCAAACGAAUGGCUGGAGGGUGGAGCUAGUCUCCAGGCUGACUCGGCCUGAGCCAGACACAUUUUACUGUCUACCUCGUCAGUGCAGGGAUGGAAAUGCACGGGUCUGCGAACAUGUAACUGGGCAGGACUUACCUGCAUGACCCCAGUUCUCAACUGUUCCUUCUGUGUCAAAAACAAGGCUCUUUCCUUAAAUUUUAAUGUAUCCUGAGUUAAACAGUAGUAAGUGGUCAUUAUUAAAACCCUGAAACAUGUAUGUACAUGGCUACACAGCCUUCCGGAGGAACCGGAAAGCAUCAUCUUCAGUUUCCCCUACACGUACCACAACUACUGAUCUUCACAGAAGUAUAAUGUCCUUGAGAUCAAGUCUGUGAGGCCUACGUGAUGACCACAAAUGCCUUCACAGUGGAUAACCAGCUACAUGAGUCUGUUAAUUAUGAAGGAGUUUGGGGAUUAAUAGGAAUGGGGGGAAAUCAAUGAAUAUCUACAGAGGAAGUAGAUUUCGUAAAACACUGCUCCCUACCUUGAAAAAAUACUUCUCAAAGUAGCAAGUAGACUAAUAGAGAUGGUGAAAAACGUAUCCGGGACACCUAAAUUCCUCUUCCAUCCACAUGGAGACUUUUAUUCAAGUAAAGGCACUUCAUAAAAAAUAUACCCACAUUCUUUAAUGAGAUUGUAACUCGACUGUGUCAAAAAACACUACGGUGAAGCACUGUAUUUUCAAAUCUUCCUGGUAAAGCCGACACUUAAAUGAAGCUCAGGGGCAGAGGCUCUGUGAGCACCGAUGUGCCCCCCUAGUUACGGGACACCUGCUAUGUUCAAGGCACCGAUGAACGCUGGGGGCACUGGCGACACAUGAAGACCCUGCUUCCGUCAGCAAUGACCACACAGGCUGAGUCACAAGUGUGACCCCACAGGAACAGACCAGCAGGUGGUCUGGCUCACCGUGGGUACAAUGGAAUCCAAGCAGAGCUGUGUGCAUUUGUAGGACUAGACGGAAUUCUACGCCUGGGUGAAACCGUACGGUCCAAGAGGGUCUAAUGCAGCAAUCACAACUGCGGAGACUGAGAUGUACCAUAAAGAUUUGAUGAUGCUGUUCCUAAGGAAAGAAAAUUAGCUCUGAUUCCCCAGUGAUUAAGAAGUGAAAUGAAAUAAGACAUUACCAAGAAGUGCGACCAAAUCAGCCAUUGGUUCGUGGAGAAUACCACCAAAGGUUCCGGAAUGAAAAUCUUGAUCUCUGCACUUCACCUGCAAGACAGAAAACAAAAGAAGAACCUUCUUCCUGGAUUUCCUUCACGACCUCCAACCUGUAAGUGUCCAUCCCUGGAGAUCUGACCUUUCACCUACUCACCUGACCUAAAAAUGCUGGUUGCUUCUGGUGCAAAAUACUUUGGUGUGCUCCCAGGUUCUGAAAUUCCGUAGGUGUGGAAGGGAACUGGGCACCUUCUCCCACAGUUACUUCCUCCCAGCUCCCCCAUUUCCAAAAGGAGAAGAGACCCUGGUCUUGUAAAUCUGUCACCUUGAGGCUCUCUCUGACUUCUGUGCACUCCACAGCCAGUCUGCCACCAAUCGCUAAUGAGUUACAGGGAACUUGUGUGUCUGGCGUGUUCCGUCAUCUCUCCUGCCGGGCUGCUCUUCCCCUGCUCCGGUCAUCCUCAAGGUACCGCCAGACGUAUCUUCCAUCAAGUCCCUUAGGCUUCAAACCUUUACUUCAUGAGGGAGUCACACCCACGAAAGCACUGUAGGGCCUCCAAAGUCUUCCCCACCUCCCCCCCUUCUCCUGUCACUUCCUGCACCUGCUUGUGGCCUCCCUUGACCCAGCCAAGAUCUCCACGCCUGUUGGCCUCCUGUCUCCCCUCAGUCCUGCAUCGCCCAUCACUUCAAACUGCCUGUGGCCCGUGGUGGACUUGGCCGUCCCCGAGUCCCUCCACCACGUGCCUGGGAUGACCACAGCCCUGGGCCAACAAUGCGGGGCUUCUCCGUCCCUGGCUGCUGGGCUCAGCUGCAAACAAUGACCCGACAGCAGGGCAGGAGACGCUCCCUGCCCAGGCCUGCCCAACACUUCACCCCGACCCGGGCUGAACAGCCGGUCGCCGGUCACCCCUCGGCAGGCGGACGCACUUCCUGCUCAGCAGAGAACCAGAGACCAGAGACUCGGUGAGACGGACAGACGCGCUGCAGGGCCCGCACCUGCAGGCUCAGGCCUGCCCUCCCCACCCCUGCGCCCUUGUUCUCAUAGACCCCUUGCUCCCUCGAGGUCGGCUGUGGCCUCGCACGGUGCGCAGACCCUGUGCCCUCUAGAGGCGAUCUUACCUCACACCGCACCGUCUCCAGGCCAAGUCUUUGAGAGGGGUUUCCACGAGGACCUCGCCGCUUCCCCCUCCCACACCAGGCCUCCAAGUACCGCUCUCUCUCUCGAGGGAAACCCCUCGAGGGCCCAGCUGAUCAGUUGGGCGAUCAGUAGGCACACGCUGCCCUUCAAAUGCCGAAGCGUGCAUGAGCGCUUCCAUCUUUUCUGCGCCCUCUGGUCCUCACAGCAGCCGGAUGUGGACAGGGCACGUGGGGCUAGUGUGUACACUGUUACACGUGGACACACAAAGUGGCUAAAAAACUAAUGACUUACCAGGGAGCAACCUUCUGGCUCUAAAGUGCUAUCGUGUGACUAGAAAAGUUAAAGGAAGCCAGACUGGACCUCGUACUCAGGGAUCACAACAAGCCUGCGAGGGGAUUACUGGGCCCACUUUACAGAUCCCAGGACGCACUCCGCCCUCCUGCUACUGGAGCCAUGAAUACCUCCACCCGGAAGUAGCUGUUCCCUCGAGUGCCGUAGGGCAACCGAACCGGCUUCUUCCAUCCCUUCAAUGAUGAACUUGACAUUCACGGGGAGAUCCUGAAUCGGAUCAACAACAGAACAAAACCAUUCUGUCAAAAAGUGGCACCAGGCGCCCGUUGGUCUUCUCAGAGCCAGAGCUCAUCUGCGUGUGACAGAAACACAUUACUACACACAUUCAGCAAAUGGACUGUCCACACACCCAACAGAUCCAUUCACAACAAAGGGCUCGGACCUACGACCAAGCAGGAGAACUCAAGGGAAGGCCCAGUGUCUGGCCUCCGGCACGACCCAUUGAUUCAGCGUGGACCACAAAGGAUUCAGGAAAGGAAUUCCUAUAGAAAAAGCAACGUCCGCACUGCGGGGCUCGACGGGGCCACCACGGAGAUGGGCACCUCCCCCCUUCUCCCCAAAAGGAACCUUUCAACAAAGGUUACCCGAUUACAAAUGUUUUUCUGUCCUUGUAAUUCUGAGCAUGACGAAUGAGAACUCUUUCCUUUGAAAGACUGUCUAAUGUUUAAGCCUCAGGAUAAUUUUUAUUUCAAGUAUCUGUUAUUUUUCAGCUUUGAGUUCAAUCUGCCUUUUAACUUAUUCAAAGGCUUUGAUCUUGUAGCAAAAUGGAACUUGGGUUUUUCUCUAGCUAAUAUUAGGACACAGAACAGCUCCUUUAAAAUUUUUACAAUGUGCCUUUCCUCCAUAUGGUUUUGAUCUUUUUGUAUCUUUAUAAUUUAUAACUUCAUAUCUUUGAGAGCCACAUGAAGAGAAGAGGUCAAAGUCUUUUCCUGGAGCAUAAAACACGCACAGGAGAACUUGAGAAGUAAUUCCAUGCAGACAAACGAUGGCACACACAUUCUAAUUAGUUUUAACCAGUGUGAUUGACUCGCCAAAGAUUAACAAAGGCAGGAUGAGUGGAGGAUUAUGUAUUAGAAAUUAAGUGACCUUCGGUCAUUCAGCUGGUUAAGGGCAUUUAGGGAUAACAAUUUGUUCAAAUGUAUCCCUUGUGAACAUUUAUUUCUAUGUGUCUUAAGUUAAGCUGAAGUUCUGAAAUGUUAAUAUUUGAAAGCUCUUUAUUAACAUUUAACUAGAAAACAAUUGCUGAGAAGAAGUUGGAAAGCUUAAGAAUUUUCUGGCAAAAUGUGAUUAAUUCAAUAUAAGGCAGUCGCUGCUAUGUGUUGGGGGAGGCACAGCUGCCAGGCCUGG